rnacentral:rRNA from 1 species
AGUGAACGCUGGCGGUAUGCUUAACACAUGCAAGUCGAACGGCCUCUUCGGAGUUAGUGGCGGUCAGGUGAGUAACGCGUGAGAAUCUGGCGUUGGAUUCGGGACUAUCACUGUAAGCGGUGGCUAAUACCGGGUAUCCCGCGCGGUUACAGGGAAAUACCCUGGAGAUGAGCUCGCGUCUGAUUAGCUAGUUGGUGAGGUAAAGGCUCACCAAGGCAGCGAUCAGUAGCUGGUCUGAGAGGAUGACCAGCCACCCCGGGACUGAGACACGGCCCAGACUCAUACGGGAGGCAGCAGGGGGGAAUUAUCCGGAAUGGGCGAAUGCCUGGCGGAGCAAUACCGCGUGAGGGAAGAAGGCUCUUGGGUUGUAAACCUCUUUGCUUAGGGAAGAACAAAAUGACGGUACCUAAGGAAUCAGCAUCGGCUAACUCCGUG